ensembl:snRNA U1 U1 spliceosomal RNA
AUACUUACCUGGCAGGGGAGAUACCACGAUCGUGAAGGUGGUUUUCUCAGGGCGAGGCUUACCCAUUGCACUCCAGAUGUGCUGACCCCUUGCGAUGUCCCCAAUUGUGGGAAGCUCGACUGCAUAAUUUGUCACAGCGGGGAACUGCAUUUGUGCUUUCCACU